UAUUAUAGUAUAUACCAUAGGGAUAUAACCUUUUGCUAUAUAUUAUAAAAAUCUAGUGUGGUGUGUAUUAUACAAAUGGCAUUAAAUCCAUCGUGAGAAAGAAGCGAAAUUUCAACUUAUCUAUGUGGAUUCUUACAGAGGAAAAACUCGUAUAGUUCAGCCAGACGAAUGUGUGUACGAUUAUGAACUGAGAGGUGUACAGGGCUGAAACGUAGAGAGUAGAGGCGAGUAUUACAGCAAGGAGAUGGUCGCGAUAAUAUACUAUACGUUGGGUUAUAUUGUUCGCUCUUUUCUCUGUGUAUGUGCUUGUUCACGCUGGCGACGGUAACGGCGGUGUGUGCGACUAACGCCGUUCUUCCCUGACUGGCACAGGCAGGUACCAAUGGGUACCAAAUGCCACAAGGUCACUACACGAACGGCUAAACUGGAGAACGACGAACAGCGACGAUACUGCUGCUGCUGCUUCUGUUGCGGUUGACGAUGAGACGCUGCCAACAAUCAUGCGAGAGCGCAGAACUUCCAACCAAGCCUGAUGAUCAUGAUCGUCCUUCGUAUAGAUGCGUACCGGGUUAUACCGGUCCGUAUUUAAUUCCAUUUGCCAUAUCAAACGCAUCGCCUUGAUCGCCAUCGCCAUAUUUGCUGUAGUCCCCCAUCUUUAAUUCAUUACGUGCGCUGAACAAGGUGACCCAUUCUCCGUUAAUCGUAAUCAAUGAUCUGAAAACAAUUAUUAUUUCAACAAGUACAAUGCCUGCCAUGUAUGCGGUUUUGGAAAUCAUCGUGCACAGAUAAUGAAGCACCCGAUUUGAUAUUUCAUAUUAUUGAAAUGAUGACGGGUAAUUUGUUACGGGUAUUUGUAAAUUUACAUUAUAUUACGUAAGCCUGUACCAACGUCGUGCGAUUACGUAGAUUUCGUGAUGAUUCCAUCUUCCCAUACAUACCUGUAUCACGACAUAUGAAGUGUAAGGGGAUGAAACAAGCUUUGAAGUUUUGAAUUGUUGACUACUUGUUGCGAAUCACAUGGCUCGCGAUGUAGUCAAUUAUCUUGAGUGAGAAUCGACUAAAUUUCGAAUCUUGUUACAGGAAUACCUGAAAUAAAUGUCUUGUUAGAAAUCUAACAGCACAAUUACUAUCGAUAAA